AACCUGGUUGAUCCUGCCAGUAGUCAUAUGCUUGUCUCAAAGACUAAGGCAUGCAUGUGCUAAGUAUAAGUAUUAUACAGCGAAACUGCGAAUGGCUCAUUAAAACAGUAAUAGUUUAUUUGACAAUCUCACUUAUAUGGAUACCCGUAGUAAUUCUAGAGCUAAUACAUGCUGGACUCCCGACUUUUUGGAAGGGAGGUAUUUAUUAGAUAAUAACCAAUAUUCCGUAGGUCUAUCGUGGUGAAUCAUAAUAACUGAUCGAAUCGCACAGCCUUUGGCUGCGAUAAGUCAUUCAAGUUUCUGCCCCAUCAGCUGUCGAUGGUAGUGUAUUGGACUACCAUGGCAAUAACGGGUAACGGAGGAUUAGGGUUCGAUUCCGGAGAGGGAGCCUGAGAAACGGCUACCACAUCUAAGGAUGGCAGCAGGCGCGUAAAUUACCCAAUUCUGAUUCAGAGAGGUAGUGACAAGAAAUAACAGACCGAUACUAUGUAACGGGGUUGCAAUGAGCCGAAUUUUUCUUCCCUUGGUGAGGAGCAAUUGGAGGGCAAGUCUGGUGCCAGCAGCCGCGGUAAUUCCAGCUCCAAUAGC
rnacentral:rRNA from 1 species